UGCUCGGAAUUACUGGGCGUAAAGGGUUCGUAGGCGGUGUGGUAAGUCGGAAGUGAAAUCUCUGGGCUUAACUCAGAGGCUGCUUUCGAAACUGCCGCGCUAGAGUGCGGGAGAGGCGAGUGGAAUUACAGGUGUAGCGGUGAAAUGCGUAGAUAUCUGUAGGAACACCCGUGGCGAAGGCGGCUCGAUGGACCGCAACUGACGCUGAGGAACGAAAGCUAGGGGAGCAAACAGG
rnacentral:rRNA from 1 species